rnacentral:lncRNA from 1 species
UCUACUCAAUUGGAUAUCAUAAUACAUCAUUCAUAAAAACCUUCUGUCACCGACCAUUUGUGACUGACAAUUUACAAGUGUCUGUCAUGCCAAAACCUGACUCACAGUUGUGCACCAGCUAAAACUCAUUAUUUUAAUGCCUAAUAAAUUUCACAUACUAGCCAUGAUAUUAUCAAAUAAUCCCAAGAUUAUACCCUUAAAAUGCCAACUUCAUCUUACUUCCCCUGCUUCAUCUUCCUGCAACAAAAUCUCUCUAUUAUGAUCAGAAGAGACCAUGGCCAUAUCAAAGUGGCUCUGCACUAAAACCAUCAAUAACAUGUUCGUCAAGAUUGUUCAUCCUGGAGGACACAGAGAGCUCCAUGACAAGCCUGUUCUUGCAUCAGGCAUCAUGCGAGAGAACCCAAAAUGCAUCGUUGCAUACCCACAUAUUUUCAAGAAUCCAUGGGCUAUUGUUCAACCAGACACCAUUCUGACACCAGGUCAGAAGUUCUACGUCGUACCCAUGAGCACUGUCCGGAAGCUUCAGAGCCACCGGCUCAAGUCCAGAUCUCCUGUUCCUGACGGCAAUAGCAGUGAGGCUGACAACAAAGAGAAGAAGACUUGUGGGAUUUCUCCGAACAAGAACACAAAGGAUAUAAGGAGGGGAAGUUGCUUGUCUGAUGAUAAAUGCACCAUAUGCAUGUUUAAUGUGUUCAGGAAAAAAUCCAUGAAUGGUGAUGCACCAUUAUCAAACAGUAGCUUCUGGUCAUGCUCAUAUGGGAUCUGGAAGAGGAAGAAGGAUUUGCCAACAGGAUCACCAAACAGACCAUUUAUGCCUUAUGAUCAUUGGCAACCAGCUUUAGAGAGCAUCAGGGAAGAAUAAAGCAAUUACACAAUAUCAAUCUUAUAUCAGGUUGAUUAAUUAUUUACUGUUCAUGAGAUUACUGAAAAUGUGUAAAACCCAAAAGAACAGCUUCAUCAUAGAAAUUUUCUGUUUAUAUAAAUAAAACUUUAUUAUAUAUUAUUUUACAAAACCAAGAACUGUAGCUGAAAAUUGCUAGGAAUCAUGGAAUUGCUGCUAGAAUUAGAAUACUGAGACAUUUAGCUCCAGCCACUAUUUGAUCACCUGUUUAUGAAAUUAAUUUCCUUGAGAAAAUCUAGCUAAUUGCUAAUAUUAUUUAUUAAUUCUGCAAAAUAUUAUAUAUAAGAAUGCUCUUUUAGAAGAAAAUCACUAGCAGCAAAGUUCCUGAUGGAGACAUUAAAAUGGACUGAGAUCACUAAGCCUGCAUAGACAUAAAUGGGAUUGUUUGGAAUAUGUUGAAAAUAUUCAUUUUAAUAAAAUUUAAUAUAUUUAAAAUAAUUAUAAUUAAAAAGUUAAUAAAAAAAUUAUAUUUUUUAAUACAUAUAAAAAAAUUAAAAUAAAUAAAAAUUAUAAAAUAGUGACAAUAAUUUAGAAAUUUAAUAUUAUCAUAUAUAUUGACUAAAAAAUAUUAUCAUACAUUAAAAUUAAACGCUUAAAUUUAUUGUUUAAUAAAUAUUUUUAAAAUAUGGGAAACCUUCUCUUGCUGGCACAAGCAAAUAGGCAUCCGUUAGGUUGGGCAUGCCUUUUCGCCGCUUGUCAUUAUGUCAUGAAAAGUUGGCAUAUGUAAAGGCCAAGUGAAGGCCAAAAUGUUGAAGAUAAGUUCUUAAAAAACUUUUCUCGAACAGGUUAGGUGGGAAAGAAAAAAGAAGAAAAAUGAAAACAUAGAUGGAGAAGAAAUUGAUAUACUCACAAAACCAAUUCCAAACACAUAUCAAUCUCAAAAAUCUUCCUCCUCUAGAUCCCCGCACCACCUCCGAUUCCCAGGUACGGUCGCAAAUCAC